rnacentral:rRNA from 1 species
UACGGAGGGGGCUAGCGUUGUUCGGAAUUACUGGGCGUAAAGCGCACGUAGGUGGCUUUGUAAGUUAGAGGUGAAAGCCCGGGGCUCAACUCCGGAAUUGCCUUUAAGACUGCAUCGCUAGAAUUGUGGAGAGGUAAGUGGAAUUCCGAGUGUAGAGGUGAAAUUCGUAGAUAUUCGGAAGAACACCAGUGGCGAAGGCGGGUCUCUGGACAGUUCCUGACGCUGAGGCACGAAGGUCAGGGGAGCAAACGGG